rnacentral:rRNA from 1 species
UACGAAGGGGGCUAGCGUUGCUCGGAAUCACUGGGCGUAAAGGGUGCGUAGGCGGGUCUUUAAGUCAGGGGUGAAAUCCUGGAGCUCAACUCCAGAACUGCCUUUGAUACUGAGGAGCUUGAGUCCGGGAGAGGUGAGUGGAACUGCGAGUGUAGAGGUGAAAUUCGUAGAUAUUCGCAAGAACACCAGUGGCGAAGGCGGCUCACUGGCCCGUAACUGACGCUGAGGCACGAAAGCGUGGGGAGCAAACAGG